rnacentral:antisense_RNA from 1 species
CUUGAUCGACCCAAGGCGGACCGGCCGGUCGGCGGCCCGGCCGCUGCCGUACGUCGCGAGGAUCGCCUGCGCCUC